rnacentral:rRNA from 1 species
CCUACGGGUGGCAGCAGUGGGGAAUAUUGGGCAUUGGGCGCAAGCCUGACCCAGCAACGCCUCGUGAAGGAAGAAGGCUUUCGGGUUGUAAACUUCUUUUCUCAGGGACGAAGAAAGUGACGGUACCUGAGGAAUAAGCCACGGCUAACUACGUUCCAGCAGCCGCGGUAAUACGUAGGUGGCAAGCGUUAUCCGGAUUUAUUGGGUGUAAAGGGCGUGUAGGCGGGAGCGAGAGUCCGAGGUGAAAACUCAGGGCUCAACCCUGGGCCUGGAUUGGAAACUGUGUUUGUUGAGUGCUGGAGAGGCAAUCGGAAUUCCGGGUGUAGCGGUGAAAUGCGUAGAUAUACGGAGGAACACCAGUGGCGAAGGCGGAUUGCUGGACAGUAACUGACGCUGAGGCGCGAAAGCGUGGGGAGCAAACAGGAUUAGAUACCCGAGUAGUC